rnacentral:rRNA from 1 species
UAAUACGAAGGGGGCUAGCGUUGUUCGGAAUUACUGGGCGUAAAGGGCUCGUAGGUGGCCAACUAAGUCAGACGUGAAAUCCCUCGGCUUAACCGGGGAACUGCGUCUGAUACUGGAUGGCUUGAGUUCGGGAGAGGGAUGCGGAAUUCCAGGUGUAGCGGUGAAAUGCGUAGAUAUCUGGAGGAACACCGGUGGCGAAGGCGGCAUCCUGGACCGACACUGACACUGAGGAGCGAAAGCCAGGGGAGCAAACGGGAUUAGAUACCCCGGUAGUCCUGGCCCUAAACGAUGAAUGCUUGGUGUGGCGGGUAUCGAUCCCUGCCGUGCCGAAGCUAACGCAUUAAGCAUUCCGCCUGGGGAGUACGGUCGCAAGGCUG